UCAGGAUGAACGCUAGCUACAGGCUUAACACAUGCAAGUCGAGGGGUAACAGGAGAGAAGCUUGCUUUCUUGCUGACGACCGGCGCACGGGUGAGUAACGCGUAUCCAACCUUCCCCUUAGUAGCGGAUAGCCCGGCGAAAGUCGGAUUAAUACGCUAUGUUCUUCGUUGAUGGCAUCUGAUGUGAAGCAAAGAUUUAUCGCUAAGGGAUGGGGAUGCGUCUGAUUAGGUAGUCGGCGGGGUAACGGCCCACCGAGCCAUCGAUCAGUAGGGGUUCUGAGAGGAAGGUCCCCCACACUGGUACUGAGACACGGACCAGACUCCUACGGGAGGCAGCAGUGAGGAAUAUUGGUCAAUGGGCGCGAGCCUGAACCAGCCAAGUAGCGUGCAGGAAUGGCUGCCCUAUGGGUUGUAAACUGCUUUUAUCAGGGAAUAAAGUGAGGCACGUGUGCCUUUUUGUAUGUACCUGAUGAAUAAGGACCGGCUAAUUCCGUGCCAGCCGCCGC
rnacentral:rRNA from 1 species